AGCCCUGCGGCGGUGCGUGCAUCCUGCAGCAGCCGGCGGGGAGCGCUCCCUCCCGGUUGGACGGGACGCUCAGAGGAGGCGAGCGGAGCGGAGAGGAGUCGCUGCACCGACCGCGGUUUCUGCUAAUUUAUGGCCGCUACACGUGUCUCUAUUCCCCGCACGGAGUUUUGACGAACGCCGCUCCGGGAUGGCCGAUCAUGGUGCAGGGUGAAGGGGAGAGAGAAUAAAGUGCUGUCGGUGCAGAUAUUUGGGGGGAAGCUGAAGCUCUGCGGCGGCAGCCCGGGACGCACCGGUGGGGGUUUCACAUGCAGGAUGAUACACCUGAGCUCUGCUGCCGUCACCUGUGAUGAGCCCCACACAGAACUGAUCCUGCGAACGAGCCCUUCACACAAAACCGUGUUGAUGAAAACAAGAAUGAUCUGUUUGUGAAAUAAUCACACUCAGGUUUAAACUCACUUACCACAAGGUCCAUUUAGUGACUGUUCUGGAGCUUUAACAUGCAUCACAUGAUCUUCCUCAGUCAAACACUUUAACUGACGCCUUAUCCAAAUACAUUUUCUUCAAACGCCAUCUGCUUAGGAAGACAAUACAAUUCGAUCAAAUUCUCCAGAACAGCUACUGAAUCAAGCCUGUGGUCAACUUCACCUCAUGUAUUCAUUUCUCAAUAACUAAAAACUCCACGUGAAGCUGCGUCACAAAUGUUUGAAUUUGAAUGAUCUAGCAGACAGGGAGGCUCUCAUGAGGGGCGCUACCCAGUUGCAUUAUGGGACGAUUGAGGCCACAGUUCAGACCAACUUUAGUCCUGUUUAAAGGAAUGCAGCUGAUUUGACCAGGAUCGUCUCACGACGCAGCGGAGGCCAGCGCAGAAAGCUCUGGUAGAAAAGUUGAACCUGACUCUGCAAAGUGAUGUCAUCCAGGAAGAAGCUGCAGUGGCCAUUCACACACGUGACCUCAUGUUCCUGGUAAAAUCCUGCGAGGUGCAGAACUCAUGGGUCUGUUAGUCAAACCGAACCGAGCAUUAAAACAGAGAAUGUGAGUGAACAACAGCUGCUAGCAAAGACAACAAGGUUUUCCGUCGUCCUGGGCUGCGGGCGGCGAGCGGCGAGUCGUCUGAGGUUAAUGAACAGAAGCUUUUAUGUUAAUAGAAGGACAGCCGGCGUGAUUUAACAAGACAAUCUGCAGAUUUACUUCGCUCAAAUACAUCUGAGCUGCGGCUGCACGUUAUUAGUUGGCUAAAUAACGUCUCAGCGAUGAAGGUCAAGACAAAGAGAAGGUGAGCUCUGAGGCCUCAACAGACGAGCUGAUUCACACUGAGGAGAAACUCACGCUGUUUUUAGCUGAGGUGAAAGCACACACUCAUCACUGAUGGAGAUUCAUCCUGCAGGUAAAGGUGUGUCAGAUCACCCGUGGGUGGACGGCUGACGUCAACACAUUUUUAUAUAUUUUUUUUUUAUUUAUUUCAAGCAAAGUUUUAGUCCCAGUUUGACUUUUAUUCAGGUUAAAGGUUCAGAUUCUUUCUGACCUGACGACUGGGAUCAAAGUCAGGUUUAAUAACUUUGUGGUUUGGAGUCAGUGAGCUGAGAAAUCUGACAGUUUUAAUCAGUUUCUCAUGAACUCCUGAAUCUAAUCCAUGUCUGUUAGUGUGAGCUGAGUGGAGGAGCAAGUAUUCAGAUACUUUACUUUAAAGCUCCAUACAGUCUAAAGGCAGAUGUCCAUGUGUAGUUUGAUUAUAGAUCAGGUCUAGGUUCUAUAUUAAUACUUUGAAAGUAUCAAAGCCUCAGUCCACAGAGAAAUGCACACAGCCUGUAUUCAGACACUGAGCCUUAAAACCAGCCGUCAGGACUUCUGGAAAUUUGUGAUGUGACAACAAAGCAGUCACCGCUCUCAGCCACGCCACAAGCCCCGCCCACCUGGACCCACCAUCCAGCCUCCAUUUGGUUUCUCUCGCAGUCUCCCAGACUGCUGAUGGUGGCAGUUUUUUGGGUUUGUGUUAAUCUCUGUGUGUUUGUGGUGUGUUUGAUGAAUGUAUCAUGUGAUCAGUAGAGGUUGGGUUGAUCCGGUUGAGUCUUUAAUAUUUUCGAAUUAAUUUCCUGGAGCUCCGCUGCCGUUUGACUCAUCGUUUGUUAAAAAUCAUCUACAUCUGUGUCACAAUUUCAAUCCUUUCAGUUUGUAGAUCAUUAUUAUGCUGUUUAUCAAAAAUCUAGAUUUUUUUAUUUUACUGGUAAAUUCAUACAGAAGUCAAGCAAAGGAAGCAGCAGUCCACAUGACCAGAAACCUGGACCAGGUGUUUCUGAAACCAGGACGUGAAUCAAGAUGAUCAGGAUUCUUCUAAAGUCCAGUCCAGAGAUAAAUAGAAAAUGAAAAUAGAAUUAGAAAGUUGCACAGUGAUAAUGUUGUUCUGUGAGAUCAUAGAACACAUACAUACAGCCCAGUGUGUGUGUGUGUGUGUGUGUGUGUGUUGCGUUGUUGAACGGAGCGCAGCACUCAACAGUGUCAGAAAAGCAGCCUGAGGCGCCAUCUAGAGGCGAGCAACUGAAAUUACACUACGGUGUGUGAACAGAGUCACAGCAUGAAGUCCUGAGCUAUCUGAAUAAACCAGAGCAAUCAUCAUCAUCAUCAUCAUCAUCAUCAUCAUCAUCAUCAUCAUCAUCAUCAUCAUCCUGCUAACGACAACAGGUAGGACAGGUAUCAGCUCCAGGCAUCAGACAGUAAAUAUGAACUGAAUUAUUGUGUGAACUGUAGAAAUAAAUCUACUGUCUAGUCCACUGAACUAAAAUACUGUCAUCACUGUGAUGUUUGGUUCAUUUCUAUAUUAAAAUCAAAACUACAUACAUGACAUU